CAGCCAAAACAACAGAAAAACUCAAAAUACCUGAAAUUGAUAGGCUUUGUGUCAAACUCAAGAGGUUGCCAGACAUCAGAUAUCAAUCCAAAAGAGCUUAAAUCUUAUAACGGGGCAGAUAAGCUAAUCUGGAUGCCAUUUUUCCCAUGGUCAUGACUGGACUUUUUCAGUAUGCGGCAAUAGUUCACCUAACAACACAAUAAAGCUUGUCAACUUAAGGAUAUAAGAUCUUAAUCUUGUUAAAAUAAAUAGUAAAAUAACUACUCUUAUAGAAAAAGGGAAAGGGAAAUUCCUUGUGGUUGCACUCAUGCAAAUAGAAUGAUCUAUUAAUCGAAUUGGAACUUUCCCAAUUAUAGAGUUACAUGUUUGCAAAUAUCACUUAUGGAUAAUGACCCACAAAGUAAAAAUCAAAUAUUUCCCUUAACAGUUCUUGAUUACGGAAGUAUAAGACCUCCUUUUAUUCUGAAAUGAAUUAACUUUUAAUCAUUUUAAGACAGUGUUCAAUCAUAAUUAUUUUUCAAAGAAAAAACUAGUCCUGAAGAACUUUAAAUGACCAUUUACUGAGGCCAAUAUACCUUCAGAUCCUUGAUUAUAAUGCAUCACAUAUCUUUCCUCAAUCAUACAACCACCUAGAUCAAAGCAUCAUAUGUUGCUUAAAUUCUAUAAACUUAAUAGAACAGAUAACUCACCUUCAGGCGGAAUAGGUUUGUGGGAAAAACAAUCCCA
rnacentral:lncRNA from 1 species